GUGCCAGCAGCCGCGGUAAUUCCAGCUCCGAUAGCGUAUAUUAAAGUUGUUGUGGUUAAAAAGCUCGUAGUUGAACCUUGGGCCUGGCUGGCCGGUCCGCCUCACCGCGUGCACUGGUCCGGCCGGGCCUUUCCCUCUGUGGAACCCCAUACCCUUCACUGGGCGUGGCGGGGAAACAGGACAUUUACUUUGAAAAAAUUAGAGUGCUCCAGGCAGGCCUAUGCUCGAAUACAUUAGCUUGGAAUAAUAAAAUAGGACGCGCGGUUCUAUUUUGUUGGUUUAUAGGACCGCCGUAAUGAUUAAUAGGGACAGUCGGGGGCAUCAGUAUUCAACUGUCAGAGGUGAAAUUCUUGGAUCAGUUGAAGACUAACUACUGCGAAAGCAUUUGCCAAGGAUGUUUUCAUUAAUCAGGAACGAAAGUUAGGGGAUCGAAGACGACCAGAUACCGUCGUAGUCUUAACCAUAAACUAUGCCGACUAGGGAUCGGACGGUGUUAUUCAUGACCCGUUCGGCACCUUACGAGAAAUCAAAGUGCUUGGGCUCCAGGGGGAGUAUGGUCGCAAGGCUGAAACUUAAAGAAAUUGACGGAAGGGCACCACCAGGGGUGGAGCCUGCGGCUUAAUUUGACUCAACACGGGGAAACUCACCAGGUCCAGACACAAUAAGGAUUGACAGAUUGAGAGCUCUUUCUUGAUUUUGUGGUGGUGGUGCAUGGCCGUUCUUAGUUGGUGGGGUGACUCGUCUGCUUAAUUGCGAUAACGAACGAGACCUUAACCUGCUAAAUAGCCCGCAUGCUCCGGCAGUGCGCUGGCUCUAGAGGGACUUUCGGCUCAAGCCGAAGGAAGUUUGAGGCAAUAACAGGUC
rnacentral:rRNA from 1 species